rnacentral:rRNA from 1 species
ACUCAAAUGAAUUGACGGGGAUCCGCACAAGCAGUGGAGCAUGUGGUUUAAUUCGAUACAAAGCGAAAGACCUCACCAAGGUUUGACAUACCAGCUGCACGGUUGUAGAAAUAUGACCUUCAUUCGAUGGUGCUGGAAAAGCUGCUGCAUGGCUGUCGUCAGCUCGUGCCGUGGGGUGUAGAUUUAAGUAUCAUAACGAGCGCAACCCUCAUUCUUUGUUAAAUUAUUCAAAGAAAACUGCCUUGCAAAUUUGCAGGGAGGAAGGUGGGGAUGAUGUCAAGUCAGCACGGCGCCUAUGCCUUGGGCGACACACAUCCUACAAUGGCGAACAACAACGAGUUGCAACUGGGCAACCAGAAGCUAAUCUCUGAAAUUUCGCCUCAGUUCAGAUUGGGGUCUGCAACCCGACCCCAUGAAGUUGGAAUUGCUAGUAAACGCAGAUCAGCAGGCUGCGUUGAAUACGUUCUCGGAUCUUGUACACACCGCCCGU